GAGUACCCACCCUAGUCACACCCUGACCUAACCAAAAUAGAGAAUUAAAAGGAUCUCUAAGGUCAGAGUGUGACAGGUACCCUUUAAAACUGCGAAAUAUUCUCUCCACUGCCAAGAUGACAACUGACCAAGCCCCUUUUUGAUCCAGAAAAAUGCUAAUAAUUUCAUAAUGAUACAGUACAUUUCUUGAAAUUGUUCACAAGAAGCCAUACUCAAAUCUAAAUCCAGUUAAAUGUUUGGAAGAAGAGGGUAUUAUUAAUACAUUUUAUGCUUAUUCCUUGGUCUCUAGUGGGGAACCGUGAGGGUCUUCUAUGCCAGCAUAUUUCUUUGGUGGUCUCUGGGGAGAUAAAUCUAGCUAGCUGUCAGCCAUUGGCUCGGCCCUCAGAAGCUAGACAGAACUGUAUUCAACUGUAUUAGGGCAGAAUUUGUGCCCUCCCAGUUUUGUAUCCUCAUAAACAUAACAAAUGGUAUAUAAAUUACACUGCCCUGUUUUGCCAAUGUAACGCUGCCGGGCCUUCCAAACACAGACUCUGAACACAGAGCAUAUUACAUGAACAAAAAUCCCAGGUUGUCUAGCUGGCAUUUGAGAUGGAUAUGACAAGUACAUUUCGCCAGGAAUGAGAUUGGAAUCAGAUGCUUCUCAUGAGGUUCAACACAGCAUCGAGGAGGCUGCAACUCUUUUAAAUGCCUCAAUUCGUCGGGGCAUGGACUACAAGGUAUCGAUAGCGUUUCAGAGUUCCCAGGUGUCUUAAAAGCACCAUCAAUCCAGAGAAAGUUUGAUGACAAAAUUUGCCCACGAAGGACCGCAGCGCCACCUUCCUGUUCAAAGGACCUGAGCCCUAGGACCAUGCC